rnacentral:lncRNA from 1 species
GCCAAAAGAAAGCCCACCGCCCCUCUUAAUUUUUUCUCAUGCCUCCUAUCUAUUUUCCACUGUAAUGUUCAGUUUCUCAUGGUGAAUAUCUCUCCUUUUGUCGCACAAAAAAAGCCUUUAGUAGGUGGAAUCCAAGGGAAGGAUAGGAUUAAGUUUAAUCUAAUUGAAUUCUUAUCUGAUAAGGACUCAUAACAAACAAAACUUAUCCAUAAAUGGUGUGGAAUAGAGAGGGGGCAUGAGAAACCUUGUUGGGCAUGACAUUUCUCAUGCAAAACCAAAAUAUGCAUGAAGAAUGGUGUGGCUUUUUCUUAUGGGGUGCGGCAUCAUAGUGGGAUGCAAGGGAGAGAGAGUCCCAAUGGAUUGGGACUCCUUUUUUGGUGCUUAAUAAAUUCCUAACCAUCUUAGGAAUUGGUUGCACUUAAGAAGAGAAAUAAUCCUAGUCUAACUAGAAAAUUAAUCAGAUUUUAAUUCAAUUAAAAAAUUAAUUGAACUCAAGUCCUGAUCAAAUUAGGAAUUGGUCUUCUUUAUGAUUGAGUUAUUAUAUAACUCAAUCAGACUUGAUCUAAUUAAAUCCAAAUUAAAUCAAAUUGAAUCUAAUUUAAUUAAACUUGAUUCAAACCCUAUUGCACAAUCAAAUUAAGUUAAUUAGCAAUCCAAUUACUAAUUAAUCCUCCAAUAACUCAUUAACUCUUAGCGAAUUGCUUUAUUGCAACUCUUACACUGGAUUAAUUAUCAAUCACAUUGAUGAUUAGAUCUAAUAGCGAUUCAUAAUCUCUAAUCAAUCAUGUGCUCGGACAAAGAUCUCUUUUGUAUGUGACCCCGUGGGUUCUAUUUAGUUUGGUUAUGAGAUAUAUUGUAAUCUCCAUUACAAUAUCAUCAAAACUCCUUUCAAUGAUUGGAACGAUUCUAUCUCUGCACAACAAGAAUCAUCGAUCAUCAAGAUGAUGCUCGAUGAGUCUCACGAUCCAUCAGUGAUACCUAGCAGUAUAUAGUGACAAUCUAGCAAAAUAAAAUAUUGAACCUUUAGGUGCAGUUAUCAUGUAGUUUGAUUCUUCUAUCGUGAGUCCCGAUAAGACGCAGGUCAAGGAUCACUUAUCAAAUCUGUUCAUUCAUCAUAUGUCAAAAUCAAUCGACUCGAGUUUAUGUGAAACCUUAUGAAAAUUUUUUCCAUCAUUCACCUACCAUGGCCAUGAAUUUUAGGACUCAAUCUCAUGAACUGCAUAGGAUCUCUUCCUAUCUAUUAGGGUUAACAAAUCCCAUCUUGGUGUAUAUCCUACUCCUAAAAUAGACCUACUGUAGCCAACAUACAGCGUAAAAUUUUGAAUGACUAGGUAACCAAGUAUUGACAUAGUCAAACUAUAGUAACUCCAUUAUGAAUAGCCGAGGUAUUGUAGGUCAAAGAACUAUCUACACUACUACAACUUUGAGCAAAUCACUGACGAGUGGGUAUCCA